GUUUGCACUUGUCGGGGAAGGGUGAGAACCUUCGAUUAAGGUUCGACUCGAGCGAAAGAACGUUGCCAACGGCAACGGCCCGUAGGGUGAGGAGCGAAGCGACGAAUAAUCCUUCCCCCACCACCA
rnacentral:sRNA from 2 species